UACGGAGGAGGCAAGCGUUAUCCGGAAUUAUUGGGCGUAAAGCGUCCGCAGGUGGCACUUCAAGUCUGUCGUCAAAGACUGGGGCUUAACCCUGGAAAGGCGGUGGAAACUGAAGCGCUAGAGUGCGGUAGGGGUAGAGGGAAUUCCCGGUGUAGCGGUGAAAUGCGUAGAGAUCGGGAGGAACACCGGUGGCGAAGGCGGUCUUCUGGACGGUGACUGACGCUGAGGCGCGAAAGCGUGGGGAGCAAACGGG
rnacentral:rRNA from 1 species